rnacentral:rRNA from 1 species
GACGAACGCUGGCGGCGUGCUUAACACAUGCAAGUCGAACGAAGAGCGAUGGAAGCUUGCUUCUAUCAAUCUUAGUGGCGAACGGGUGAGUAACGCGUAAUCAACCUGCCCUUCAGAGGGGGACAACAGUUGGAAACGACUGCUAAUACCGCAUACGAUCUAAUCUCGGCAUCGAGGAUAGAUGAAAGGUGGCCUCUACAUGUAAGCUAUCACUGAAGGAGGGGAUUGCGUCUGAUUAGCUAGUUGGAGGGGUAACGGCCCACCAAGGCGAUGAUCAGUAGCCGGUCUGAGAGGAUGAACGGCCACAUUGGGACUGAGACACGGCCCAGACUCCUACGGGAGGCAGCAGUGGGGAAUCUUCCGCAAUGGACGAAAGUCUGACGGAGCAACGCCGCGUGAGUGAUGACGGCCCUCGGGUUGUAAAGCUCUGUUAAUCGGGACGAAAGGCCUUCUUGCGAAUAGUGAGAAGGAUGGACGGACCGGGAUAGAAAGCCAC